UGAGUACUCCCUCCGUCCCAAAAUUCUUGUCUUAGAUUUUUCUAGAUAUGGAUGUAUCUAAUACUAAAACGUGACUUGAUACAUCCGUAUUUAGAUAAAUCUAAGACAAAAAUUUUGGGACGGAGGGAGUACAUG
rnacentral:pre_miRNA from 1 species